rnacentral:rRNA from 1 species
GGAAUCUUGCGCAAUGGGGGAAACCCUGACGCAGCAACGCCGCGUGGGUGAUGAAGGCCUUCGGGUCGUAAAGCCCUGUCAGGUGGAAAGAAUCGUGUCGGUACGAACAGUACCGAUGCUUGACGGUACCACCGGAGGAAGCACCGGCUAACUCCGUGCCAGCAGCCGCGGUAAUACGGAGGGUGCAAGCGUUGUUCGGAAUUACUGGGCGUAAAGCGCGUGUAGGCGGUUAGGCAAGUCAGAUGUGAAAGCCUUUCGCUUAACGGAAGAAUUGCAUUUGAAACUACCUGGCUGGAGUUCGGGAGAGGAGAGUGGAAUUCCCGGUGUAGAGGUGAAAUUCGUAGAUAUCGGGAGGAACACCGGUGGCGAAGGCGGCUCUCUGGCCCGAUACUGACGCUGAGACGCGAAAGCGUGGGGAGCAAACAGGAU